GUCGGGCGCAGUGGUGCGCGCCCGUAAUCCUGGCACCUGGGGAGGCUGAGGCAGGAGGAUCCUGAGUUCAAACCCAGCCGAAGCAACUCAGUGAGGCCCUAAGUGAUUUAAUGAGACUCUGUCUCAA
rnacentral:sRNA from 1 species